CUGGGUUGCAUUUGGUAUGGAAAUUCAUCCUCUCGCCUUUAUCUACACGUUAGAUUAAUUAGUCUUUGAAAUUGAGGGAGUUUUGUUGAGAUUUGGGUUCUGGGUUAGCUCGGGUUCGACGCUAUUGCUUACGUUCUCGGUUCGUUCCUGCUCGGUUUCUGGUUCGACUGCUCCCGUAGACAAGGCCUUACUUCGAUUGAGAGCUAAAGUCUGAAAGUGUCUUGGUGGGUGUUGUGAAUCCUCAGUUCAUCGUCUGUUGGGUUUCCGGUUCCGAGAUCAAAACAAGAAACUUUGAAUUGGGGACAUUGAGGCUUGGAUUGCCCGUCUAUCAUCGAGUUUUUGGAAGACUGCCGCAAGGGAGCUAAGGUUCACCUUGCAGAUUGUAGUACCGAAGGUAAACCCGAGUUUCUAGAUGGAAAUGUUUAUGUUUGUUUGGCUCGAGAGAUUGAUUAAAUUGUUGAAAUGGAUGACUGGUGAUGUAUGAGUUAAUUGUAUUGAGUUGUUAGGGGAUGGAAUUGUGGCUAUGGUUAAUUAAGAAGUGAAAGUACCGAAGUUACGAGUUGGUGGUGAAGUGGGAAAAGUUUAAGUAUUGUGAAAUACUAUGAAAUGGUCUUGGUGAUAUGGGUGUCUAUAGUAAUUCUAUCGGAUUACUAUACUAUACGACGAAACUUGAAAUAGAAGUAGAGUUGGGUGUGGAACGAAUUGAGAUCGUUUGUUAACGAAAUUGGGGAAUUUGAGAUAAUUUUCUCUAUUGCUUGUGUAUAUGUUGAAAGUCAUAGUAAGUCAAGAAAAUGACUUAAUAUAUUGGGUGCUCACGUAG
rnacentral:lncRNA from 1 species